GGGAUUAUAGCUUAAUCUUGGUAGAGCACAUAAUUGUCGAUUAUGAGGAUAUCGGUUCGAAUCCGUUUAAUCCCG
rnacentral:tRNA from 1 species